rnacentral:lncRNA from 1 species
CUGUGUUGCGCCUGACCUUAUGCCUCAUUUUCAAUGGGGUCCGGUGUUUUUCAUGAGAAACAACUCAAUUGCCUUUCCCUCCGCGGAAUGCUACAGGGGAGGUUAUUGUAGUACCGUAUUUGUUCUGAGACACGCUACUUUCCCCCACAUUUUAACAGGCUGGAAACUGGGGUGCAUCUCACCACCUGUGGCAUCCUAGUUUGGAUGAAAUGCGGUGUUGCACUUUGAGCACUUACCCUGUGCCGGGCACUGUGGCAAGAGGGGACAGAGCCACCUGUCAGCCCAGCCUUGUCACCUGUGAGUGACAGCAUCAGCCCCAAAGUCGGGACACUCCCUGUAACCUUGGGAGAACCUUUCCCCACUGUCAGCCUCAGUUGUGAAAUGAGGAACCUUGUUCUAGAAUCUAGAUCAUGGUUUCCCUAGCUUUAAUCUUCUGAGCCCCACCUUCCUGAUUCUGGCCAUACCCAUGUCUGAUUAUUUAAUUAAUGUUGUUGAGUAGUGCACCUUUUUAAAAAUUUAUUUUAAAACAAUUUUAUAGUAUUAUUUUAAGUGUAAAUCAUGAAAAACACCAUAAAAAUAAAUGUUGUCCCUGGCAGUUAAAACACUGCGGGAGGCUCUGAGCCUUUGGUGUUGGCACCAAACGAGACUUGGUCCCCAUGAGGUCAGAAGGCUCGGGAGUGACUGGGAAUCAGAACAAGGAGCUCAUUGUUUGGGUUUGUGAGUGUCCCUGCAACACCCAGGACCAGCCCCGCUCCUGAGAACUCAGGGAGCCCCAAAAUGAGCUAUUCCGCCAGGUCCUCUUGCUCUCUAAGCCAGAGCCUGAAGUCUUUGGCCGCCAGUUCGAUGGUGUCCAGGAAGAAUUCAGAGGACAGGCCUGCG